AACCAGCACCUCAAGUGGUCAGGAUGAUUAUUGGGCCUAAAGCAUCCGUAGCCGGCUCUGUAAGUUUUCGGUUAAAUCUGUACGCUCAACGUACAGGCUGCCGGGAAUACUGCAGAGCUAGGGAGUGGGAGAGGUAGACGGUACUCGGUAGGAAGGGGUAAAAUCCUUUGAUCUAUUGAUGACCACCUGUGGCGAAGGCGGCUACCUGGUCCGGAUCUGACGCUGAGGCGCGAAAGCGUGGGGAGCAAACAGG
rnacentral:rRNA from 1 species